UACGUAGGGGGCUAGCGUUGUCCGGAAUCAUUGGGCGUAAAGCGCGUGUAGGCGGCUCGAUAAGUCUGCUGUGAAAGUCCAGGGCUCAACCCUGGGAUGCCGGUGGAUACUGUCGAGCUCGAGUCCGGAAGAGGCGAGUGGAAUUCCUGGUGUAGCGGUGAAAUGCGCAGAUAUAAGGAGGAACACCAAUUGCGAAGGCAGCUCGCUGGGACGUGACUGACGCUGAGACGCGAAAGCGUGGGGAGCAAACAGG
rnacentral:rRNA from 1 species